AACGAACGCUGGUGGCGUGCCUAACACAUGCAAGUCGAACGAGAUCUUCGGGUCUAGUGGCGCACGGGUGCGUAACGCGUGGGAAUCUGCCCUUUGGUUCGGAAUAACAGUUGGAAACGACUGCUAAUACCGGAUGAUGACGAAAGUCCAAAGAUUUAUCGCCAGAGGAUGAGCCCGCGUAGGAUUAGCUAGUUGGUGUGGUAAAGGCGCACCAAGGCGACGAUCCUUAGCUGGUCUGAGAGGAUGAUCAGCCACACUGGGACUGAGACACGGCCCAGACUCCUACGGGAGGCAGCAGUGGGGAAUAUUGGACAAUGGGCGAAAGCUUGAUCCAGCAAUGCCGCGUGAGUGAUGAAGGCCUUAGGGUUGUAAAGCUCUUUUACCCGGGAUGAUAAUGACAGUACCGGGAGAAUAAGCUCCGGCUAACUCCGUGCCAGCCGCCGCGGUAA
rnacentral:rRNA from 1 species